CCCGCCGCAGGUCCUCCGUGAACGAUUUCUUCACCUCCAGAAGAACUUCCAUGUCCACCGAGUCCAAGUGCCGGCCAAGAGCCAAAGGGGGCACGAAAGAGAUGACGACCACCAGGAGAACAACCGGCAUCAGCCUCUGUUGCACAUGGACCCAACAGUUUUAACUCGACUGCGUCUUCAAUGUCCGACGCAGCAGGACAAGAUUUAUUUCAGUGAUGGCGAGGAACAAAGACGAGAAACUCGGCGAGUCACAUGUGAGCUCGGCACACAUUAUUAUUGGGCAGGAAGCAGGCUUUUGUGGCUUGAUGUCACCGCUGCCUUUGGCUCACGGUAUGAGCCAUGGCAAAGCAUGGCCGACCUCCAUUGCGAGUCACAUGCCGUGAAAAGAGUCUGCACAAUCUUGACUUCAAAUGCUGGCGGUGGUUGACUCCUGUGAGACGCGACAAAAACAAGUGUGGGUGGCUCGUUCCUUCUUCAUUCACUGAGUAGAUAAAUUGAAGGAGGUUCAGCUUUCUCGUCUCUUGUUUGGACACUUGGGCUCAGCAACUUGGUGCAUUUCUUGUCUCUUGUUUUCAUCCCUUGUGCACUUCUUGGUGCCUAGAAUAAAGCAUACAUAAUAUUACAACAACAAGAAGAACAACAAUAAUAAUAAUUCACAUUUUCCUUAUA